GCGAUGUGGCUCUCAAAUCGGUAGAUAUCUACAGAUUCGUCUACCGACAUGUUAUCGGCCCAUAUGGAUAUGAACAUUACUUUGAUAUUGGUGGCAUAGUUUCGGUUGUGUUUAUUGCAGCAAUAAAAGUCAUUGGCA